GACGAACGCUGGCGGCGUGCUUAACACAUGCAAGUCGAACGGAAAGGCCCUGCUUUUGUGGGGUGCUCGAGUGGCGAACGGGUGAGUAACACGUGAGUAACCUGCCCUUGACUUUGGGAUAACUUCAGGAAACUGGGGCUAAUACCGGAUAGGAGCUCCUGCUGCAUGGUGGGGGUUGGAAAGUUUCGGCGGUUGGGGAUGGACUCGCGGCUUAUCAGCUUGUUGGUGGGGUAGUGGCUUACCAAGGCUUUGACGGGUAGCCGGCCUGAGAGGGUGACCGGCGACAUUGGGACUGAGAGACGGCCCAGACUCCUACGGGAGGCAGCAGUGGGGAAUAUUGCACAAUGGGCGGAGGCCUGAUGCAGCAACGCCGCGUGCGGGAUGACGGCCUUCGGGUUGUAAACCGCUUUCGCCUGUGACGAAGCGUAAGUGACGGUAAUGGGUAAAGAAGCACCGGCUAACUACGUG
rnacentral:rRNA from 1 species